AAUAUCAAAGGUGAGCCAGUACAGGAUGGACCCGCGUCUGAUUAGCUAUUUGGUAAGGUCACGGCUUACUAAGGCGCCGAUCAGUAGCCGACCUGAGAGGGUGAUCGGACACAUUGGAACUGAGCCACGGUCCAAACUCCUACGGGAGGCAGCAGUCGGGAAUAUUGCACAAUGGGCGCAAGCCUGAUGCAGCAACGUCGCGUGGGUGAUGAAAGCCAUAGGGUCGUAAAACUCUUCUCAAGGAAGAUAAUG
rnacentral:rRNA from 1 species